rnacentral:rRNA from 1 species
GAUGAACGCUGGCGGCGUGCCUAAUACAUGCAAGUCGAGCGAACGGACGAGAAGCUUGCUUCUCUGAUGUUAGCGGCGGACGGGUGAGUAACACGUGGAUAACCUACCUAUAAGACUGGGAUAACUUCGGGAAACCGGAGCUAAUACCGGAUGAUAUUUUGAACCGCAUGGUUCAAAAGUGAAAGACGGUCUUGCUGUCACUUAUAGAUGGAUCCGCGCUGCAUUAGCUAGUUGGUAAGGUAACGGCUUACCAAGGCAACGAUGCAUAGCCGACCUGAGAGGGUGAUCGGCCACACUGGAACUGAGACACGGUCCAGACUCCUACGGGAGGCAGCAGUAGGGAAUCUUCCGCAAUGGUCGAAAGCCUGACGGAGCAACGCCGCGUGAGUGAUGAAGGUCUUCGGAUCGUAAAACUCUGUUAUUAGGGAAGAACAUAUGUGUAAGUAACUGUGCACAUCUUGACGGUACCUAAUCAGAAAGCCACGGCUAACUACGU